rnacentral:rRNA from 1 species
GGUUACUGCUAUCGGUGUUCGCCUAAGCCAUGCGAGUCAUAUGUUCUUCGGAACAUGGCGUACUGCUCAGUAACACGUGGAUAACCUGCCCUUGGGUCCGGCAUAACCCCGGGAAACUGGGGAUAAUUCCGGAUAACGCACAUAUGCUGGAAUGCUUUAUGCGUCAAAUGGAUUCGUCCGCCCAAGGAUGGGUCUGCGGCCUAUCAGGUAGUAGUGGGUGUAAUGUACCUACUAGCCUACGACGGGUACGGGUUGUGAGAGCAAGAGCCCGGAGAUGGAUUCUGAGACAUGAAUCCAGGCCCUACGGGGCGCAGCAGGCGCGAAAACUUUACAAUGCGGGAAACCGUGAUAAGGGGACACCGAGUGCCAGCAUCAUAUGCUGGCUGUCCGGGUGUGUAAAAUACACCUGUUAGCAAGGGCCGGGCAAGACCGGUGCCAGCUGCCGCGGUAACACCGGCGGCCCGAGUGGUGAUCGUGAUUAUUGGGUCUAAAGGGUCCGUAGCCGGUUUGGUCAGUCCUCCGGGAAAUCUGACGGCUUAACCGUUAGGCUUUCGGGGGAUACUGCCAGACUUGGAACCGGGAGAGGUAAGAGGUACUACAGGGGUAGGAGUGAAAUCUUGUAAUCCCUGUGGGACCACCUGUGGCGAAGGCGUCUUACCAGAACGGGUUCGACGGUGAGGGACGAAAGCUGGGGGCACGAACCGGAUUAGAUACCCGGGUAGUCCCAGCCGUAAACGAUGCUCGCUAGGUGUCAGGCAUGGCGCGACCGUGUCUGGUGCCGCAGGGAAGCCGUGAAGCGAGCCACCUGGGAAGUACGGCCGCAAGGCUGAAACUUAA